rnacentral:rRNA from 1 species
CUGCUAUCACUCUUGGGAUGGACCUGCGGUGCAUUAGCUAGUUGGUAGGGGUAACGGCCUACCAAGGCGAUGAUGCAUAGCCGAGUUGAGAGACUGAUCGGCCACAUUGGGACUGAGACACGGCCCAAACUCCUACGGGAGGCAGCAGUAGGGAAUCCUCCACAAUGGACGCAAGUCUGAUGGAGCAACGCCGCGUGAGUGAAGAAGGGUUUCGGCUCGUAAAGCCCUGUUGUUGGUGAAGAAGGACAGGGGUAGUAACUAACCUUUGUUUGACGGUAAUCAAUUAGAAAGUCACGGCUAACUACGUGCCAGCAGCCGCGGUAAU